AUUCUGGUCGAUCCUGCCAGUAGUUAUAUGCUUCUCUCAAAGAUUGAGUCAUGCAUUGUUACUUGGUUAACUGUAGUAAUUCUAGAGAUAAUACAUGCAAUUAAAACUCGGACCUUUUGGAACGUGUGCUUUUAUUAGGUUAUAACCAAGCUAUUGCAAGAUCGUUAUGUUGGUUGAAAUCUAUGGUCUUGUACUAACGACAAAUCUUUAAAAUGUGCGCCCUAUCAACUUUUGAUGGUAGCAUCUAGGACUACCAUGGUUGCAACGGGUAACGGGGAAUCAGGGUUCGAUUCCGUAGAGGGAGCCUGGGAAACGGCUACCUCGCUCGAAGUGGUAGUACCGAAAAAUAACAAUACAGGAGUCAUAUCCGAGGCCCUGUAAUUGAAAUAAGUACACCUAAAAUCUUUGAACAAGGACGUAUUGGUGGGCAAGUCUUGUGACAUCAGCCGCAGUAGUUCCAGCUCCAAUAGCGUACAUUAAAGUUUUUGUACAAUAUACCCUUGCACCCAUUUUUGCUGGGUUCAGGG
rnacentral:ncRNA from 1 species